AUGUAGUGUGACAUGCCCGUUUGGGUUUUACUCUGAUGUUGAGUUAUUAUUAUUAUUUAAUUAGUUUUGGGAAACAGGGUGUUACAAUGUU
rnacentral:pre_miRNA from 1 species